AGAGUUUGAUCCUGGCUCAGGACGAACGCUGGCGGCGCGCCUAACACAUGCAAGUCGAACGAGCGAGAGAGAGCUUGCUUUCUCGAGCGAGUGGCGAACGGGUGAGUAACGCGUGAGGAACCUGCCUCAAAGAGGGGGACAACAGUUGGAAACGACUGCUAAUACCGCAUAAGCCCACGGCUCGGCAUCGAGCAGAGGGAAAAGGAGCAAUCCGCUUUGAGAUGGCCUCGCGUCCGAUUAGCUAGUUGGUGAGGUAACGGCCCACCAAGGCGACGAUCGGUAGCCGGACUGAGAGGUUGAACGGCCACAUUGGGACUGAGACACGGCCCAGACUCCUACGGGAGGCAGCAGUGGGGAAUAUUGCACAAUGGGGGAAACCCUGAUGCAGCGACGCCGCGUGGAGGAAGAAGGUCUUCGGAUUGUAAACUCCUGUUGUUGAGGAAGAUAAUGACGGUACUCAACAAGGAAGUGACGGCUAACUACGUGCCAGCAGCCGCGGUAAAACGUAGGUCACAAGCGUUGUCCGGAAUUACUGGGUGUAAAGGGAGCGCAGGCGGGAAGACAAGUUGGAAGUGAAAUCUAUGGGCUCAACCCAUAAACCGCUUUCAAAACUGUUUUUCUUGAGUAGUGCAGAGGUAGGCGGAAUUCCCGGUGUAGCGGUGGAAUGCGUAGAUAUCGGGAGGAACACCAGUGGCGAAGGCGGCCUACUGGGCACCAACUGACGCUGAGGCUCGAAAGUGUGGGUAGCAACAGGAUUAGAUACCCUGGUAGUCCACACCGUAAACGAUGAUUACUAGGUGUUGGAGGAUUGACCCCUUCAGUGCCGCAGUUAACACAAUAAGUAAUCCACCUGGGGAGUACGACCGCAAGGUUGAAACUCAAAGGAAUUGACGGGGGCCCGCACAAGCAGUGGAGUAUGUGGUUUAAUUCGACGCAACGCGAAGAACCUUACCAAGUCUUGACAUCCUCUGACGAACGUAGAAAUACGUUUUCUCUUCGGAGCAGAGAGACAGGUGGUGCAUGGUUGUCGUCAGCUCGUGUCGUGAGAUGUUGGGUUAAGUCCCGCAACGAGCGCAACCCUUAUGGUCAGUUACUACGCAAGAGGACUCUGGCCAGACUGCCGUUGACAAAACGGAGGAAGGUGGGGAUGACGUCAAAUCAUCAUGCCCUUUAUGACUUGGGCUACACACGUACUACAAUGGCGUUAAACAAAGAGAAGCAAGACCGCGAGGUGGAGCAAAACUCAGAAACAACGUCCCAGUUCGGACUGCAGGCUGCAACUCGCCUGCACGAAGUCGGAAUUGCUAGUAAUCGCAGAUCAGCAUGCUGCGGUGAAUACGUUCCNCGGGCCAUUGUACACAC
rnacentral:rRNA from 1 species